GAAGCUUGUCGUCAAGUCAAGGACACAGCAGGCGGUCGUUUCGCUCUGAGUCCGGCACUGCAGCGGGCGUUGUCGUCGGUCGAGGUCGGCGGUGUCCAGUAUAAAUACAGGGCCAGGCCAGCUGAUCGGCAUCACAUCGCAGCCGCAACACGCCGCUACAUCAUGAAGGCUUUCGUUUGCUCUUUCCUCGUAGUCCUGUUGGUGGCGGCCGUGUUCGCCCAGGAGAAGGCCAAGGAGACCCUGAAGGGCGCCGAGGCCUACUACGCCUACGCCGCCCCCUACGCCUACAGCGCCUUCGGCUACCCCGCCGUCAGCGCCUACUCUGCCUACCCCUAUGCUGCCGCCGGCUACCCCUACUACUACCGCUGAACACGGACAUUACAGUGGGGAAGUCAUCGAUGUAAUAAACGGCUUUGCAACAAAUAAAAUUUGUACAUAGCAAAAUUAAA